rnacentral:rRNA from 1 species
GAUGAACGCUGGCGGCGUGCUUAACACAUGCAAGUCGAACGAUGAAGCCCAGCUUGCUGGGUGGAUUAGUGGCGAACGGGUGAGCAACACGUGAGUAACCUGCCCUUAACUCUGGGAUAAGCCUGGGAAACUGGGACUAAUACCGGAUAGGAGCGUCCACCGCAUGGUGGGUGUUGGAAAGAUUUAUCGGUUUUGGAUGGACUCGCGGCCUAUCAGCUUGUUGGUGAGGUAAUGGCUCACCAAGGCGACGACGGGUAGCCGGCCUGAGAGGGUGACCGGCCACACUGGGACUGAGACACGGCCCAGACUCCUACGGGAGGCAGCAGUGGGGAAUAUUGCACAAUGGGCGCAAGCCUGAUGCAGCGACGCCGCGUGAGGGAUGACGGCCUUCGGGUUGUAAACCUCUUUCAGUAGGGAAGAAGCGAAAGUGACGGUACCUGCAGAAGAAGCACCGGCUAACUACGUG